GGUGCCGCCGGCCCCCAGGCCCCGGGGCUGCACUGACCCACCAGCAAGUCGGCAACGGCAACUUAAGGAAGUUGCCGCUGGAGCGCACGCUGUGGUCCACGGUGAGGGCCACCACGAUCAGCGCGUGGGCCAGCACCCGCAGCGCCAGGAGCGCCGCCAGCAGGGCGGCCCCCCGCGCGAAGUGGCAGGCGUGCGGCCUGGGGUGCAGCCCUAGCCGGUGCCUCGGCCCACGGGCACACGCGUUGCCCGCUGCAUUGGCCUCCCUGCGGUCGGUGGCAGAGAUGACGCGGGGCGGGCUAGGGGAGCUCGCGGCAGUGGGGUGCGGGGCAGGAGCGGGCGCGGGCCCAGGAGGUGCGCGAGGACACAGAGGGAAGAAACGCGUUGGAGAGGGGACCUCCUGCAGCCGGAGCGGGGCCGAGACUAGGCCCAGGCGCUUGGGGUUGGGAUCCGGGGUUCCUCAGGAGAAACUAAUUGCUGGGACAAAAGGAAUGCAGGAUGCCAGGUUGCCUCUUAAAAGUUGUUCCAAUUUAUCGUUGAACCAGCCACUUCCACAUUUUAACAGUGCAGGAAGAAGCCUACUUUACUACCCCAGCACGCAGGAGGAAGAUUCUUUUUCCUUGCCCAACUACAGCCCAGCCAAGGAGAAACUGUCAUCACUCUUCUCACUUUCCUCCAAUGGACUUUGGUCCAAAGCCCUGGCCCCCAACUUCCCUUUUCCUCCCUAUAAUGUUUCUCUCCUUUGUUCUCUGGACCAGCCAGUGGCUUUGCCAUGGCUUUCGUGUCCAAAUUGCAAUUUCUCUGCCAUUUCUGAAUAAAUCCAUUUUGCU
rnacentral:lncRNA from 1 species